rnacentral:rRNA from 1 species
GACGAACGCUGGCGGCGUGCUUAACACAUGCAAGUCGAACGGAAAGGCCCUGCUUUUGUGGGGUGCUCGAGUGGCGAACGGGUGAGUAACACGUGAGUAACCUGCCCUUGACUUUGGGAUAACUUCAGGAAACUGGGGCUAAUACCGGAUAGGAGCUCCUGCUGCAUGGUGGGGGUUGGAAAGUUUCGGCGGUUGGGGAUGGACUCGCGGCUUAUCAGCUUGUUGGUGGGGUAGUGGCUUACCAAGGCUUUGACGGGUAGCCGGCCUGAGAGGGUGACCGGCCACAUUGGGACUGAGAUACGGCCCAGACGCCUACGGGAGGCAGCAGUGGGGAAUAUGGCACAAUGGGCGGAAGCCUGAUGCAGCAACGCCGCGUGCGGGAAGACGGCCUUCGGGUUGUAAACCGCUUUCGCAUGUGACGAAGAGUGAGUGACGGUAAUGGGUAAAGAAGCACCGGCUAACUACGUG